ACACCUACGGGACGCAGCAGUGGGGAAUAUUGGGCAAUGGGCGCAAGCCUGACCCAGCAACGCCGCGUGAAGGAAGAAGGCUUUCGGGUUGUAAACUUCUUUUAAGAGGGACGAAGGAAGUGACGGUACCUCUUGAAUAAGCCACGGCUAACUACGUGCCAGCAGCCGCGGUAAUACGUAGGUGGCAAGCGUUAUCCGGAUUUAUUGGGUGUAAAGGGCGUGUAGGCGGGAGCGCAAGUCAGAUGUGAAAACUCAGGGCUCAACCCUGAGCCUGCAUUUGAAACUGUGUUUCUUGAGUGCUGGAG
rnacentral:rRNA from 1 species